rnacentral:misc_RNA from 1 species
UACGUAGGUGGCAAGCGUUGUCCGGAAUUAUUGGGCGUAAAGCGCGCGCAGGUGGUUCUUUAAGUCUGAUGUGAAAGCCCCCGGCUCAACCGGGGAGGGUCAUUGGAAACUGGGGAACUUGAGGGCAGGAUAGGAAAGGGGAAUUCCAUGUGUAGCGUUGAAAUGCGUAGAUAAGUGGAGGAACACCAGUGGCGAGGGCGACUUUAUGGCCUGUAACUGACACUGAGGCGCGAAAGCGUGGGGAGCAAACAGG